AUGUCCCUACAGAGAAGCCUAGCUAGCAACACUCCAGCCAUGGCUAGCACCUUCAAAGCUCCCAAGCUUUACAUCCGCACCUUUGCCGUCAACCACCCUGGCUUUCCACCCCUUCUUGCUGAGAUGCUCACCAAAGCCUUUGGCUGUAAGGCUAACCCCGAUUACCUGGUGUUCCAAUCGGCACCCAUCCCUCACCUUCAUCGCUUUGAUGCAAGAGUGCACAUCAGCCUAGGUCCCGCAGUAGAUGGCCAGUCGUUGGUUUUUCAGGGUAGAGCCAUGCCUACCACUGAUUUAGCCAUUCAGGCCGCUGCUAUGGAGGCUAUCCUACACCUCCGAACCAAGUUCCCGCAUGUGGCAACGAGGCGGGAGUUCUGCUUUUUCCCCAUUGUGGCAGAAGCAGGAAUGCAGCCUUCUCCCGCUAUCCAAGGAGAUGACCUCGCAAUCGCUCGCCUGGUGCAAUAUAUCACUGCCCAGGGGAUGAUGAUUUCCAAGAUGCUUGCCGAGUUUAGAACCCUGGACAAUGAUGCGGUACGAGUUGUCAAGGAAGCUUAUCGCGAGGCUCGUAAAUUUGCAUCUCAAGCUGUUCACCCCAUGCCAUCCGAACCAGUGCUACCCUCUCAGCCUGUGUUGUGGCCUAGACCCAACAUCAUCACCCUCGACAAGGCUCUUUUACGAAUCCACCAGCAGCAUUUGCUUGGAUCAAUUUCAGCCACACCUCUAGUAGUCGAACCCCAACCCAUAGUGCUGUCAGACGAUGAAGAUGGAGAUUGGCUCAGUCUUCAUCCUCCAGGAGAGCCCCAGCAAGGCCAAUCCUCUGCAUGA
rnacentral:rRNA from 1 species